UCAGUUCAUUUUGUUUCUUUUUACUUUAAUUGCGAUUCACAGUCGGACCUGAGUGAUUUCCUUAUUUAUUUUGGUACCCCUUUACUGUGAAUUUUUUUAUUUAUGAUCACGACCGAUCCCCAUUGGAAGACCUGCCAGGCCACUGACUGAAGUGAUCACUCCAGCGGGUCCCCCUCAGGAUCCUUCCCCUUCACCAUCCAGGCUUGAUUCAAGUUAAGGUAUCCAUAGAUUAAGGGUGCUACCAAAAAUAUCCGAGUGAUACACUCUAAGUAAAUUUAUAUAUUUUUUUUUUACCUUUAUUACUCUCAGUAAAAUUGUUAAAUUGCUCAAAUACAUUAGUUGUGCAGUUGAAUUUGAGUGUGCAUAAUUUUGUAUUGUCCAUUGAGCGUUCCAAAAAUUGUUCACUAGCCGCAAAAUACUAGCUCUUGCUCUAACUCACGCCCGAGAUAAAAUAAAUAUAGUUGGAAGUAAAAAUCAUAACAAGUUUCACUGACUCAACGAAUUUAAUAUUGCUAUUAUGAAGGAGCAAGGGUUGUAAAGCUCCUCUAUAACAUAAGACCGUUUUAUUGACGUUAAAAUCCAGCAAACUAAAGUCAGACCAAGCCUUGAUCAUAACGAGAUCGCUGGAAACCCUAGAGUGGAGGGACACAGCAUCAGAAUCACUCCAUGUUAUGCUUGUGUCGUCAGCAAAGAGGGUAAUUUUGCCAUUGAUCUUCAAAUAGGUAAUGUCAUUGAUGUACAGCAGGAAAAGAAUACGUCCAAGUACAGAACCCUGUGAGACUCCACUGGCAAUCAAUUUACACUCGGAGACAGACCUGUUAGCUCUAACAAAUUGUUGCCUGUUUUGAAGAUAGGACUUUAGGACUUAAAACAGUUGGAGGAAAUCACACUAAAGUGUGGAAGGAUCGACCGAUAUCACAAAAAAUAAAAAUUUGACUUGUGAAAACACGUAUCUUCUCCACUCUCUUAUAGAGAUGCAGAGGAAAGAACAAAAUGGAAAUAGCUGGUCGAACACAUUGGGGGAAAUCACGAUUAUCAGUAAAGGGCCGACUAGAGAGAGAGAGACAGAGAGCGAGAGGUAACUCCGGUAAUGACUGAAAUCGUCCAAAAAGAUGUAUGAAUCGUCCUGGAUAUUGUGAAGGACUACAGCAAUUUGAAAGAAUGGUCCAUAAUAGUACAGCUCCAAUCGUAAAUUUCUCAGUAACAGUUGAGUUUAAUCAUUUUAUCUGAAUGUCCAACAUGUUGCCUGGAUCAGAGUUGGAAUCGAACGAAGAAUUCAAAGUUGAUUUCAAAAAAUAGAUGCCAUUGAAACACCCAGCAUAAAUAAAAUAGGUAUCAAAAACCGCAUCAAUUUAAGCUCGUUCCGGAUCAGUUUUAGAUUAUUUACUACUCAUAUAACUAACUAAUCUACUUCUUAUCAACUGAUUUACUACUCAUACAACUCAUAUUAUUAUGCGUAAGAACCCUGAUCUUCUUGACGAAUCCAAUUUGAAAAAUAGGACUGUAAUGUACCACAGUUUGAAAAACAUACUUCGGAAGGGUUUAGGUCAGUUUAAGAUAUUACAGAUAUGCCACAAUUAUCAUUCGUCAUUCGAAGCAGGGACGUCGUCGGUUUUGCGAUGCAGCGUCAGUCGACAUGCUUCGGGCGAACUGGAUCAACGCGAUGUCGACGCCGUUCCCGGCGCGUCCGUCGACACGCGGUCAUGUCUUCCCAGAAUUCUUAAUUUUGGUGGUUGCACUGAGAUUCUGCCAGGCAGGAUACGAGAGUGUUAUCGGAGCAGGUAAUUUUUUGUCUGAUUCUCUUCGAGGCAGACCGUCCAGUUAAAUAACGUGAUAUAUGGAAAAGCACUAUUUUGUACUCUCGGACAUAAAGUGUGACAAAUAUCAAGCCCAACAUGCAGCAAGAAGUAUUAUUUCAUACAAGAUAUUCUGUUCAGACUAAAUUAAGGCCAACUUACUGCUGCUGUAUAACUGCUGUUUUCUAAUAUCCCUAUAUUAUUAUUAGUUACCUAAGUUUGGUAUUUUCGAGUAAAAGUAAGUACCAGUAUUAA
rnacentral:lncRNA from 1 species